rnacentral:misc_RNA from 1 species
GAUGAAGAACGUAGCGAAAUGCGAUAAGUAGUGUGAAUUGCAGAAUUCAGUGAAUCAUCGAAUCUUUGAACGCACAUUGCGCCCCUUGGUAUCCCGAGGGGCAUGCCUGUUCGAGCGUCAUUUCACCACUCAAGCCUGGCUUGGUGUUGGGCGACGUCCUCUUUGGGGACGCGCCUCGAAACGCUCGGCGGCGUGGCACCGGCUUUAAGCGUAGCAGAACCUUUCGCUUUGGAAGUCGGGGCCCCGUCUGCCGGAAGACCUGCUCGCAAGGUUGACCUCGGAUCAGGCAGGGAUACCCGCUGAACUUAAGCAUAUCAAUAAGCGGAGGA